UUUACAAUGGAGAGUUUGAUCCUGGCUCAGGAUGAACGCUAGCGGCAGGCCUAAUACAUGCAAGUCGAACGGUGACAGCAAUGUCAUAGUGGCGCACGGGUGCGUAACACGUAACUAACCUACCUAUAACUGGGGGAUAGCCCGCCGAAAGGCGGAUUAAUACCGCAUAAGCUCUUUACCUGGCAUCAGGUGAUUAGUAAAGAUUUAUUGGUUAUAGAUGGGGUUGCGGGUCAUUAGCUAGUUGGUUGGGUAACGGCUGACCAAG
rnacentral:rRNA from 1 species